GUUUAAUGGAAAAUUCUCGGAAUGUAAGUCUGUUAUUGCGGAUUUUGGCACCGCUGACUAUUAAGAAAAUCCAUACGAUAAUCGAAAAUUAUACGAAAGUUCUCGAGGUUUGAAAAACGGUUCCUUAAACUAAAAAUUAGAGAUAUUUUUUUUUUUUAAUGCAGAAUGUUUUAAAUUGGUCUGUAAGCUCAACAGUUAGUUUAUCAAACAGGAAUUGGGCGUCAGAAAGAAAAUUUUCAAUAAAAUGUCCACGAUAUAUACGUGUAAUCUCGAAACGACACGAGUCGGCUUCACGUAAGAAUGACAUCAUGCAAAUAGCGAAACGGAGGAGAAGAUCGAUAAAACUCUUACGUUAAAUUAAUUCGAAUCACCUGUGAAACACGAUCGAUUCCGGAUGGAUCCCAAUUCGAUUUUCGUCUUCUCCAAUAAGAGAAAAAUCGCUUCCCUUCCGGCGAUUAUCCGAAAAUUGCCCCCGCCUAUCUUUAUAAUUAAAUUGCCGCGUAUCAAAAGGAAAUUAAGAGAAGAAGAAAAAAGUAAAUUAACAGAAUUAGUGAAGAGAAUUUUAAACUAAGUAAAAGGCGAAAAUUCGACGUUCGCGUUUUCCUUCUAUAUAGAAUUCGUAUAGCGGAAAACGAGCGCUAUAAUCGAUUAGCAACCUAGACUUUAAGAGAAAUCGCCAGAUGUUUCCUAGUCCAUUAAUCCAAUUUGGACAUUUUUAUCGUAAAUACAGGCAUAUAAAGAUAACAUUCGUAGAAUAAAGAUUGGCGCGCACACACACACACAGUUAAACUUCAAUGGUUCACUUUGUAACUAGCUAGAAAUAAAAUAACUUACAGUAGUACUCUUAUUUCUUCCUUUAAAAAAGAAGAAAAAAAAAGAGUUUUAAAUGGCGUACAAACUCUCUGAGAGUUGGUUUAUUAUGAAUAGUAGCAUAUAAUGGAAGGGGAAAUCAGAUCCACCAAGAAAGACUCCAGAACUAAAAAUAAAGGAAACCGGACUCAAAGGUGGAUCAAUGAAAGCUUUUGAGAUGAACUGGAACAGCUGCGAAGAAAGAAAGAAAAAGGAAAAAAAACGAAGGAUACGUAUAAUGGAGAUAAUGUAUUCGAGAGAGAGAGAUGUCAUCGCAAUACGGAAUAGCUUAUUUUUCGGUUAUAAAACGAGCCAAAUACUAGAUUUUAUUUUAUUUUUUUCUGUUAUAAAUAACAGUAUAGAUUUAUACGCGAAAAUAUUUAAACUUUCGAUAUGUGCGACUAUCGAUCUAGCGGUGUAAAUCUAGUUUUCAUCCAGGGCAGAUCAAUGAGCGUACAAGAAAUAUUAAAUUAGAAAGCUGUAGAUCUAUUUUAAUCGAAGAAAAAACAAAUUUCGGGCAUUCGACGAUACGAUAACGGAUGUUGUUAGAUAAAAACGUUAAAUGUUAUCGCACCUCGGCUUACGGGCUUUAGUCGGAUGUGUGCGAUGCGCCCAAAUGAUGUUUCUAUAAUUCUUCGUAGCAUCAAGCGUUGUUUCGUUUUUUUUUUUUUUUUUUUUUUUUUUUUUUGUUUUUUUUAA
rnacentral:lncRNA from 1 species